GUCCCUGAGGAACUGACCUUUGACCUGGAAACUGAGGAGGAAGGGACAGGAAUUGAGCAGAUGAAGGGUCAGUGGGGACAAGGAAGAGCUUUCCAGGCAGAGAGACCGUGUCUGUGAAGUCCUUGUGCAACAUCCCAACUAAGAAAUUUCUCUGCUAGAAACUUCUGAGAGAUGGUUCAUUCAUUCACUCAACUUCAAAGAAAUAUUAUUGGAGCACCUGUUACCUGUCACUGUUCUAGUUUAGAUUCCAACCAUCUGGGUUCAGUGCAACCAUUGUCAAGGUGA
rnacentral:lncRNA from 1 species